rnacentral:rRNA from 1 species
GAGUUUGAACCUGGCUCAGGAUGAACGCUGGCGGCGUGCCUAAUACAUGCAAGUCGAGCGAACCACUUCGGUGGUGAGCGGCGAACGGGUGAGUAACACGUAGGUGAUCUGCCCAUCAGACGGGGACAACGAUUGGAAACGAUCGCUAAUACCGGAUAGGACGAAAGUUUAAAGGUGCUUCUGGCACCGCUGAUGGAUGAGCCUGCGGCGCAUUAGCUAGUUGGUAGGGUAAAGGCCUACCAAGGCGACGAUGCGUAGCCAACCUGAGAGGGUGAACGGCCACACUGGGACUGAGACACGGCCCAGACUCCUACGGGAGGCAGCAGUAGGGAAUCUUCGGCAAUGGGCGAAAGCCUGACCGAGCAACGCCGCGUGAAUGAUGAAGGCCUUCGGGUUGUAAAAUUCUGUUAUAAGGGAAGAACGACUUUAGUAGGAAAUGGCUAGAGUGUGACGGUACCUUAUGAGAAAGCCACGGCUAACUACGUGCCAGCAGCCGCGGUAAUACGUAGGUGGCGAGCGUUAUCCGGAAUUAUUGGGCGUAAAGGGCGCGCAGGUGGUUGAUUAAGUCUGAUGUGAAAGCCCACGGCUUAACCGUGGAGGGUCAUUGGAAACUGGUCGACUUGGGUGCAGAAGA